rnacentral:rRNA from 1 species
ACGGGAGGCAGCAGUGGGGAAUAUUGGGCAAUGGGCGAAAGCCUGACCCAGCGACGCCGCGUGAGGGAAGAAGGUCUUCGGAUUGUAAACCUUAGUCAACAGGGAAGAAGCAAGUGACGGUACCUGUGGAGGAAGCCACGGCUAACUACGUGCCAGCAGCCGCGGUAAUACGUAGGUGGCGAGCGUUAUCCGGAUUUACUGGGUGUAAAGGGAGCGUAGACGGUAUGGCAAGUCUGAAGUGAAAUGCAUGGGCUCAACCCAUGAACUGCUUUGGAAACUGUCAAACUAGAGUGCAGGAGAGGUAAGUGGAAUUCCUAGUGUAGCGGUGAAAUGCGUAGAUAUUAGGAGGAACACCAGUGGCGAAGGCGGCUUACUGGACUGUAACUGACGUUGAGGCUCGAAAGCGUGGGGAGCAAACAGGAUUAGAUACCCUGGUA